UACGGAGGAUGCGAGCGUUAUCCGGAUUUAUUGGGUUUAAAGGGUGCGUAGGCGGCCGAGUAAGUCAGCGGUGAAAUUUUGCAGCUUAACUGUAACAGUGCCAUUGAUACUGCAUGGCUAGGAUUUGGUUGCUGUGGGUGGAAUGUGUGGUGUAGCGGUGAAAUGCUUAGAUAUCACACAGAAUAUCAAUUGCGAAGGCAGCUCACAAAGCCAAGAUUGACGCUGAGGCACGAAAGUGUGGGGAUCAAA
rnacentral:rRNA from 1 species